rnacentral:rRNA from 1 species
GAUGAACGCUGGCGGCGUGCCUAAUACAUGCAAGUCGAGCGAACAGACGAGGAGCUUGCUCCUCUGACGUUAGCGGCGGACGGGUGAGUAACACGUGGAUAACCUACCUAUAAGACUGGGAUAACUUCGGGAAACCGGAGCUAAUACCGGAUAAUAUAUUGAACCGCAUGGUUCAAUAGUGAAAGACGGUUUUGCUGUCACUUAUAGAUGGAUCCGCGCCGCAUUAGCUAGUUGGUAAGGUAACGGCUUACCAAGGCAACGAUGCGUAGCCGACCUGAGAGGGGUGACGGCCAACCUGGAACUGAGACACGGUCCAGACUCCUACGGGAGGCAGCAGUAGGGAAUCUUCCGCGAUGGGCGGAAGCCUGACGGAGCAACGCCGCGUGAGUGAAGAAGGUCUUCGGAUCGUAAAACUCUGUUAUUAGGGAAGAACAAAUGUGUAAGUAACUAUGCACGUCUUGACGGUACCUAAUCAGAAAGCCACGGCUAACUACGUG